rnacentral:rRNA from 1 species
CCUACGGGAGGCAGCAGUGAGGAAUAUUGGUCAAUGGACGCAAGUCUGAACCAGCCAUGCCGCGUGCAGGAAGACGGCUCUAUGAGUUGUAAACUGCUUUUGUACGAGGGUAAACGCAGAUACGCGUAUCUGUCUGAAAGUAUCGUAAGAAUAAGGAGCGGCUAAAUCCGUGCCAGCAGCCGCGGGAAUACGGAGGAUUCAAGCGUUAUCCGGAUUUAGUGGGUUUAAAGGGUGCGUAGGCGGUCGGAUAAGUUAGAGGUGAAAUCCCGAGGCUCAACUUCGGAAUUGCCUCUGAUACUGUUCGGCUAGAGAGUAGUUGCGGUAGGCGGAAUGUAUGGUGUAGCGGUGAAAUGCUUAGAGAUCAUACAGAACAGCGAUUGCGAAGGCAGCUUACCAAGCUACUUCUGACGUUGAGGCACGAAAGCGUGGGGAGCAAACAGGAUUAGAUACCCGAGUAGU